UCCCUGGUGGCUCAGAUGGUAAAGCGUCUGUCUACAAUGCAGGAGACCUGGGUUCAACCCCUGGGUUGGGAA
rnacentral:tRNA from 1 species